rnacentral:misc_RNA from 1 species
ACUUCAGUUUUACUUCAAAAACUAUGUACACCAGUUGACUGUUACCUAUAACACAAGCAUUAAGUUGCCUGCUUUAGGAACAGACGACCGUGUGUGUAUUUUAAAUUAAUAUAUCCUUAUUUAUUUGUUUACUUUAAAUGUUAGGUAAAGUAAUUUGAAAUCACUUUAUAGAGUGCUAUUCACUGCGGUGACACAUAGUGCAGAUAAAGUCCUUGAACAUUUUACGUCUGUCAGUACACAUUGACUUCCUCGUAAACAAACACGUCUACCAACAUCAUGAAGUAUUUAUUACUUAUCGUCACGACUUUCAUCGUUUUCACAUCAGUUCCAGCAACACCUCAGCAUCAGCGUGAGGCGUGUUUCUGUCCAGACAUAUAUGCCCCCGUUUGUGCUGUUUCUGGCCAAACGUAUGCCAGUCGUUGCGAGUUAGAAUGUGCAAGUGAUACUCUCCUGCACGAGGGACGUUGUAACAUUUCUACAUAAAUAUAUUAUACAACAAUAAAGACAUCGACUUUUUAAUUUCCCUUUGGUGCGAAUCUUAUCUGAGAAUAUUAAAUACAAAAAACUUAAUCAAUUCAUAUAUUGGUACGACAGGAACGAUGAAUCAUCGUCACAAAAAUAUUGUUUCAAUUAGACAGUAAAAAACACAUACACAAAAUAAAACAUUUAUUAAAUAAAUAAAAAAUAUUUAAGAAAAAACAACUUGUUUUCCUUGUAAGACACAGUUCAAAACACAUUGUUGUGACAGUAAUAAUUUUUUUUAAAAAUUAAUCUUCCUUAUAUUAUAUAUUAUAUAUAUAAUUAUAUAUUAUUUACCUUAACUAAUAUUUAUAUACAUACAAAAAUUAAUAAAAAUAAUAAAUAUGUCUCAGUAAUAAUCAAGAUGUGUUAAUACCUUAUAUACUAUUCAAAUAUAAACAAAUUGUAAAUAAGAAAAAUAUACCUGGUUAAUUGCGUUUGCUAUCAGCCAUAUCAUAUAUCUACGUAACAGUACUGUGUGAACGAGUAAUCAUGUGUAUAAAUAUCUAAUUAUUUGGAUUAUCACUUACGAUAGACGAGCGAUAGCAAAUAUUGUACAAUAAUUGUUGACAUCUAUACAUAUAA